rnacentral:rRNA from 1 species
GGUUAAGCGACUAAGCGUACACGGUGGAUGCCCUGGCAGUCAGAGGCGAUGAAGGACGUGCUAAUCUGCGAUAAGCGUCGGUAAGGUGAUAUGAACCGUUAUAACCGGCGAUUUCCGAAUGGGGAAACCCAGUGUGUUUCGACACACUAUCAUUAACUGAAUCCAUAGGUUAAUGAGGCGAACCGGGGGAACUGAAACAUCUAAGUACCCCGAGGAAAAGAAAUCAACCGAGAUUCCCCCAGUAGCGGCGAGCGAACGGGGAGCAGCCCAGAGCCUGAAUCAGUGUGUGUGUUAGUGGAAGCGUCUGGAAAGGCGCGCGAUACAGGGUGACAGCCCCGUACACAAAAAUGCACAUGCUGUGAGCUCGAUGAGUAGGGCGGGACACGUGGUAUCCUGUCUGAAUAUGGGGGGACCAUCCUCCAAGGCUAAAUACUCCUGACUGACCGAUAGUGAACCAGUACCGUGAGGGAAAGGCGAAAAGAACCCCGGCGAGGGGAGUGAAAAAGAACCUGAAACCGUGUACGUACAAGCAGUGGGAGCCUCUUUUAUGGGGUGACUGCGUACCUUUUGUAUAAUGGGUCAGCGACUUAUAUUCUGUAGCAAGGUUAACCGAAUAGGGGAGCCGAAGGGAAACCGAGUCUUAACUGGGCGUUAAGUUGCAGGGUAUAGACCCGAAACCCGGUGAUCUAGCCAUGGGCAGGUUGAAGGUUGGGUAACACUAACUGGAGGACCGAACCGACUAAUGUUGAAAAAUUAGCGGAUGACUUGUGGCUGGGGGUGAAAGGCCAAUCAAACCGGGAGAUAGCUGGUUCUCCCCGAAAGCUAUUUAGGUAGCGCCUCGUGAAUUCAUCUCCGGGGGUAGAGCACUGUUUCGGCAAGGGGGUCAUCCCGACUUACCAACCCGAUGCAAACUGCGAAUACCGGAGAAUGUUAUCACGGGAGACACACGGCGGGUGCUAACGUCCGUCGUGAAGAGGGAAACAACCCAGACCGCCAGCUAAGGUCCCAAAGUCAUGGUUAAGUGGGAAACGAUGUGGGAAGGCCCAGACAGCCAGGAUGUUGGCUUAGAAGCAGCCAUCAUUUAAAGAAAGCGUAAUAGCUCACUGGUCGAGUCGGCCUGCGCGGAAGAUGUAACGGGGCUAAACCAUGCACCGAAGCUGCGGCAGCGACGCUUAUGCGUUGUUGGGUAGGGGAGCGUUCUGUAAGCCUGUGAAGGUGUGCUGUGAGGCAUGCUGGAGGUAUCAGAAGUGCGAAUGCUGACAUAAGUAACGAUAAAGCGGGUGAAAAGCCCGCUCGCCGGAAGACCAAGGGUUCCUGUCCAACGUUAAUCGGGGCAGGGUGAGUCGACCCCUAAGGCGAGGCCGAAAGGCGUAGUCGAUGGGAAACAGGUUAAUAUUCCUGUACUUGGUGUUACUGCGAAGGGGGGACGGAGAAGGCUAUGUUGGCCGGGCGACGGUUGUCCCGGUUUAAGCGUGUAGGCUGGUUUUCCAGGCAAAUCCGGAAAAUCAAGGCUGAGGCGUGAUGACGAGGCACUACGGUGCUGAAGCAACAAAUGCCCUGCUUCCAGGAAAAGCCUCUAAGCAUCAGGUAACAUCAAAUCGUACCCCAAACCGACACAGGUGGUCAGGUAGAGAAUACCAAGGCGCUUGAGAGAACUCGGGUGAAGGAACUAGGCAAAAUGGUGCCGUAACUUCGGGAGAAGGCACGCUGAUAUGUAGGUGAAGCGACUUGCUCGUGGAGCUGAAAUCAGUCGAAGAUACCAGCUGGCUGCAACUGUUUAUUAAAAACACAGCACUGUGCAAACACGAAAGUGGACGUAUACGGUGUGACGCCUGCCCGGUGCCGGAAGGUUAAUUGAUGGGGUCAGCGCAAGCGAAGCUCUUGAUCGAAGCCCCGGUAAACGGCGGCCGUAACUAUAACGGUCCUAAGGUAGCGAAAUUCCUUGUCGGGUAAGUUCCGACCUGCACGAAUGGCGUAAUGAUGGCCAGGCUGUCUCCACCCGAGACUCAGUGAAAUUGAACUCGCUGUGAAGAUGCAGUGUACCCGCGGCAAGACGGAAAGACCCCGUGAACCUUUACUAUAGCUUGACACUGAACAUUGAGCCUUGAUGUGUAGGAUAGGUGGGAGGCUUAGAAGUGUGGACGCCAGUCUGCAUGGAGCCGACCUUGAAAUACCACCCUUUAAUGUUUGAUGUUCUAACGUGGACCCGUGAUCCGGGUUGCGGACAGUGUCUGGUGGGUAGUUUGACUGGGGCGGUCUCCUCCUAAAGAGUAACGGAGGAGCACGAAGGUUGGCUAAUCCUGGUCGGACAUCAGGAGGUUAGUGCAAUGGCAUAAGCCAGCUUGACUGCGAGCGUGACGGCGCGAGCAGGUGCGAAAGCAGGUCAUAGUGAUCCGGUGGUUCUGAAUGGAAGGGCCAUCGCUCAACGGAUAAAAGGUACUCCGGGGAUAACAGGCUGAUACCGCCCAAGAGUUCAUAUCGACGGCGGUGUUUGGCACCUCGAUGUCGGCUCAUCACAUCCUGGGGCUGAAGUAGGUCCCAAGGGUAUGGCUGUUCGCCAUUUAAAGUGGUACGCGAGCUGGGUUUAGAACGUCGUGAGACAGUUCGGUCCCUAUCUGCCGUGGGCGCUGGAGAACUGAGGGGGGCUGCUCCUAGUACGAGAGGACCGGAGUGGACGCAUCACUGGUGUUCGGGUUGUCAUGCCAAUGGCACUGCCCGGUAGCUAAAUGCGGAAGAGAUAAGUGCUGAAAGCAUCUAAGCACGAAACUUGCCCCGAGAUGAGUUCUCCCUGACCCUUUAAGGGUCCUGAAGGAACGUUGAAGACGACGACGUUGAUAGGCCGGGUGUGUAAGCGCAGCGAUGCGUUGAGCUAACCGGUACUAAUGAACCGUGAGGCUUAACCUU